rnacentral:rRNA from 1 species
AGCAGCCGCGGUAAUUCCAGCUCCAAUAGCGUAUAUUAAAGUUGUUGCAGUUAAAAAGCUCGUAGUUGAAUUUUGGGUCUGGCCGGGCGGUCCGCCCUCUGGGUGAGCACUGUUCCGACGCCGGGCCUAUCCUUCUGGUGAGUCGGCAUGUCCUUUGUUGGGUGUGUCGGGGAACCAGGACCAUUACCUUGAAAAAUCAGAGUGUUCAAAGCAGGCGUAUGCUCGGAUACAUUAGCAUGGAAUAAUGAAAUAGGACGCGUGGUGCUAUUUUGUUGGUUUCUAGAACCGCCGUAAUGAUUAAUAGGGAUAGUUGGGGGCAUUAGUAUUCAAUUGUCAGAGGUGAAAUUCUUGGAUUUAUUGAAGACUAACUUCUGCGAAAGCAUUUGCCAAGGAUGUUUUCAUUAAUCAAGAACGAAAGUUAGGGGAUCGAAGACGAUCAGAUACCGUCGU